rnacentral:lncRNA from 1 species
AUCAGAAUAGAAAUAAGUAACAAAACUAAGGUCACAGAAGUCAUAAAAGGAUAAAGAAGAAAAUGCAACAAAACCCAAAUUUUGACUAAUACAUAUUUCGAUAGAUCAUGUCAUCAGGACUGAGAACUUAUAUCCAUCAAAAUAGAUAUAAGUAACAAAACUAAGGUCACAGAAGUCAUAAAAGGAUAAAGAAGAAAAUGCAACAAAACCCAAAUUUUGACUAGUACAUAUUUCGAUAGAUCAUGUCAUCAGGACUGAGAACUUAUAUCCAUCAGAAUAGAUAUAAGUAACAAAACUAAGGUCACAGAAGUCAUAAAAGGAUAAAGAAGAAAAUGCAACAAAACCCAAAUUUUGACCAGUACAUAUUUCGAUAGAUCAUGUCAUCAGGACUGAGAACUUGUAUCCAUCAGAAUAGAUAUAAGUAACAAAACUAAGGUCACAGAAGUCAUAAAAGGAUAAAGAAGAAAAUGCAACAAAACCCAAAUUUUGACUAGUACAUAUUUCGAUAGAUCAUGUCAUCAUGGCUCAGUCCUGACUACAUAAAGCGCCAUCAGCAAGAGAUAAAUAGCUGGUGCAUGAGUCC